GAUGAACGCUGGCGGCGUGCCUAAUACAUGCAAGUCGAGCGAACGGACGAGAAGCUUGCUUCUCUGAUGUUAGCGGCGGACGGGUGAGUAACACGUGGAUAACCUACCUAUAAGACUGGGAUAACUUCGGGAAACCGGAGCUAAUACCGGAUAAUAUUUUGAACCGCAUGGUUCAAAAGUGAAAGACGGUCUUGCUGUCACUUAUAGAUGGAUCCGCGCUGCAUUAGCUAGUUGGUAAGGUAACGGCUUACCAAGGCAACGAUGCAUAGCCGACCUGAGAGGGUGAUCGGCCACACUGGAACUGAGACACGGUCCAGACUCCUACGGGAGGCAGCAGUAGGGAAUCUUCCGCAAUGGGCGAAAGCCUGACGGAGCAACGCCGCGUGAGUGAUGAAGGUCUUCCGAUCGUAAAACUCUGUUAUUAGGGAAGAACAUAUGUGUAAGUAACUGUGCACAUCUUGACGGUACCUAAUCAGAAAGCCACGGCUAACUACGUGCCAGCAGCCGCGGUAAUACGUAGGUGGCAAGCGUUAUCCGGAAUUAUUGGGCGUAAAGCGCGCGUAGGCGGUUUUUUAGUCUGAUGUGAAAGCCCACGGCUCACCCGUGGAGGGUCAUUGGAAACUGGAAAACUUGAGUGCCGAAGAGGAAAGUGGAAUUCCAUGUGUAGCGGUGAAAUGCGCAGAGAUAUGGAGGAACACCAGUGGCGAAGGCGACUUUCUGGUCUGUAACUGACGCUGAUGUGCGAAAGCGUGGGGAUCAAACAGAAUUAGAUACCCUGGUAGUCCACGCCGUAAACGAUGAGUGCUAAGUGUUAGGGGGUUUCCGCCCCUUAGUGCUGCAGCUAACGCAUUAAGCACUCCGCCUGGGGAGUACGACCGCAAGGUUGAAACUCAAAGGAAUUGACGGGGACCCGCACAAGCGGUGGAGCAUGUGGUUUAAUUCGAAGCAACGCGAAGAACCUUACCAAAUCUUGACAUCCUUUGACAACUCUAGAGAUAGAGCCUUCCCCUUCGGGGGACAAAGUGACAGGUGGUGCAUGGUUGUCGUCAGCUCGUGUCGUGAGAUGUUGGGUUAAGUCCCGCAACGAGCGCAACCCUUAAGCUUAGUUGCCAUCAUUAAGUUGGGCACUCUAAGUUGACUGCCGGUGACAAACCGGAGGAAGGUGGGGAUGACGUCAAAUCAUCAUGCCCCUUAUGAUUUGGGCUACACACGUGCUACAAUGGACAAUACAAAGGGCAGCGAAACCGCGAGGUCAAGCAAAUCCCAUAAAGUUGUUCUCAGUUCGGAUUGUAGUCUGCAACUCGACUACAUGAAGCUGGAAUCGCUAGUAAUCGUAGAUCAGCAUGCUACGGGGAAUACGUUCCCGGGUCU
rnacentral:rRNA from 1 species